UCGCUGACAAGCAAGAGAUGUGGAGUUAAUCUAUAUGACCUUGGAUAAGUCAUCAGCUCUCUCUGGGAUUCAUACGUUUUACCUGUAAAAAAGAGAGUAGUAGCAGACAGUCUCUAAGAUCUAUCAGACCUGGAGCUUUGGAUCAUGCUAAACUUGGAUCAGCUAGAUGGUGCAGUGGAUAGAGUAUUGGGUCUGAAGUCAGGAACUGAAGGAGAACUGUCUGUCUAGGAGCUUGGGGCAUCAGUGGAAAAUGAAAACAGAAAAGGAAACAUUCAAUUGGAAAGCACUACAUGAGGUCUCAAAGAAAUAGGGAAUUGGAUUAUCUGUAUACGGUCCUUCAUUUAUGCCAAAGUUUACCAAUGGAUUCUGGGGAAAAUUUGGAAAGUUUUGAGUUCUAUUUCCAAGCUCAAGAUCCAAACUUCAAUUGUGGUAAAUUAAGGCUGCAAAUACAAACCAUCUAUUAAUAAACUUCACCUGCUUCUCAAAGUAUAUUCCCUAAUAAUUUGAGAAUUUUCAAUUAUUAAUCUAGGUUGUUUAGGGAAAUGGAAACUUUAAUUUUACAAUUGGCAUUAUGUGCUGAUUAUGGGG
rnacentral:lncRNA from 1 species